CAGCCGCCGCGGUAAUACAGAGGGUGCAAGCGUUAAUCGGAUUUACUGGGCGUAAAGGGCGCGUAGGUGGUUACGUAAGUGAGAUGUGAAAUCCCCGGGCUCAACCUGGGAACUGCAUCUUAUACUGCGUAGCUGGAGUGCAGUAGAGGGUAGUGGAAUUUCCGGUGUAGCGGUGAAAUGCAUAGAUAUCGGAAGGAACACCAGUGGCGAAGGCGGCUACCUGGACUGACACUGACACUGAGGCGCGAAAGCGUGGGGAGCAAACAGGAUUAGAUACCCCGGUAGUCCCUGUCUCUUAUAC
rnacentral:rRNA from 1 species